rfam:Nematostella vectensis strain CH2 x CH6 NEMVEscaffold_253_Cont20986, whole genome shotgun sequence.
CCUUCGAUAGCUCAGUUGGUAGAGCGGGGGUCUGAAGAUUUAUAAUUGUGAUCCCUAGGUCGCUGGUUCGAAUCCGGCUCGAAGGA